CCCAACUCCCUAUGUCAGCUUCUGUUGGUUGUUUCUAGUAAUUAACAGUAUGCACACUCCAGGCAGAUGUAGCCAGCUUUAUUGCCACUACACACACAAGAAAGAAAAUAACACUACUAAUUUCCCAUGUACAUUUAGUCCCUUUAGUGAUAGGCUGAGCUGAGAGCAGAGCUGGCCCUAGGUAUUUUUCAAGUGUAGGCAAACAGAAUUUUGGCACCUCCCCCCCUCCCCCAAACCAAUCACUGAAAAAUAAAAGCGUUGGAUAAGCGAAAAUGUUUGAUAAUAAGGAGGGAUUAAAGAAAAGCCUAUUAAACAUCAAAUUACAUUAAGAUUUUACAGAUUAAGCACUAAAACAUUGUUUUACAACAAAUCAAUAGAAAAAGCAGUUCAAUACCUUGCGGAGGCAGGCCGCAGGAGACAGGAGUUGCCUCGAUGGCGCCCCCAACAAGAUGGUGCCACAGGCAACUGCCUAGUUGGCCUGGUUGUUGAACCGCCUCUGGUUGAGAGCUUGUUUCGUACCCAAUAGAGGUAGGAAAGCCUUCAAACAGUUAGCAGUGAAUUGUGGCCCUCUAUCUGAAAUUAUCCAUUCUGGGGCCCCAUGUAAUUUAUAAAUGUGCAAUAGCAGCAGGUUAGCUAACUGCUGUGCUGUUGGGAGCUGCUUUAAUGGCACGAAGUGAGCUUGCGUAGAGAAUAAAUCUAUCAUAGUCCACAUCACGGUAUAUCCUUUGCUGGGGUGUAGUUCGACUACAAAAUCCAUUGCAAUUUGUCUCCAAGGUUUACAUGGGUCAGCCACUGUCUAUAAAAGUCCCAUAGGCUUCCCCAUGCACUGCUUGGGUUUGGCGCACGCCACACAUUCUGCUACACAGUCCUUCACAUCUCUUCUCAUUCCAGGCCACCAAAACUGAUUGUUCAAUAAUUGUAGGCUCUUUACAAUCUCAAAAUAUCCAGCGGUUUUGUGAUCGUGGAGUGUGAGUACUGGUUAAUUGCUAGAAACUACCAACAAAAGUUGACAUAAAAACACUACUAAUUUCCAAUAUACCUUUAAUCCCUUUUAUAGUGCUCUUCCCUCCUCCCCGUUCAAACCCUUCCCCAGCCUUCUCCAACUCCUGUGAAUGAUUUCUCCUGAUUAUCUCUUCUUCACAGGACUGCUUUCCUCCUCCAGGUUCAUUUGUUAAUUCUGACCUUGCUUCAGAAACAACUUGAAGGCACACAACAACAGCACCAACAAGAAGAAUUGCCACCUUAAUAAGUGUCAUCUUUAGGCCCGACUUCCCCAAAUUGUAGCAUAAAUGGUUGGAUGUCUAGAUGAUCUUGACAGUUCCAGGUUGUAAACAGAAGGUUAUGGUCUGUAAUUUUCUUUUUUUAUAAUAAUUUUUAUGGAAAAGUUUUAUAUCUAAUAUACAGGGGAAGAGUGAGAACAAAAUUGAUAGAAAAGUCUGGAAAAGAAUAGAGUAGACAGAGAAAAAAGGGGAAAAAUCCAACAAGAGAGAGAGAAAUAAAAAUUAAAAUUUUAUACUUGGCUUCCGUUCAACUUCCUUCUGUUUAAUUCUCUUCAGCACUUUGAAUUGUAUUUUCUCUCUCCUUUGUUCAAAUUCUGUUUGAAGUUAAUCCAUUUUCCUUAAAGGUUGUAAUUCUUGUUUAUAUAAUCCUCAAAUGUCCAGUCUUUUUCACGCCCUGACUUGUAUUCUUUUUCGUAAAUACAGUAAUUACUACAUAGCAUUACUAUGUAUUGAACUAUUUUUUCUGUCAAAUUUGUUGGAUAACAUGAUGUUUUGGUGCUUAAUUAGUAAAAUCAUAACCUAAUUUGAUGUUUAAUAGGCUUUUCCUUAAUCUCUCCUUAUUAUCCAACAUAUUCACUUAUCCAACGUUCUGUCGGCCCGUUUAUAUUGGAUAAGGGAGACUCUACUGUAUAUUUAAAAUGGCAGGAAUUCCAGUUCAAAUACGUAUUUCGUAUGUACAUGAGAAACAAAGGAUGAAAAAUAAAGCAAAUUAAGAUAC